rnacentral:rRNA from 1 species
CAGCAGCCACGGGAAUACAGAGGGUGCGAGCGUUAAUUGGAUUUACUGGGCGUAAAGCGUGCGUAGGCGGCUUCUUAAGUCGGAUGUGAAAUCCCUGAGCUUAACUUAGGAAUUGCAUUCGAUACUGGGAAGCUAGAGUAUGGGAGAGGAUGGUAGAAUUCCAGGUGUAGCGGUGAAAUGCGUAGAGAUCUGGAGGAAUACCGAUGGCGAAGGCAGCCAUCUGGCCUAAUACUGACGCUGAGGUACGAAAGCAUGGGGAGCAAACAGGAUUAGAUACCCGCGUAGUCCCUGUCUCUUAUAC